UUUAUUAAACAUUUUCGACCUUAUUAAUCGUUAAAAGAUGAGUUUGUGUAAGAUUAGGUUGUUGGUAGAAGUAAUAGUUUACCAAGCCUUUGAUCUUUAGUUGGUCUUAGAGGACGUACAACCACACUGGAACUGAGACAAGGUCCAGGCUAUCAUUAGCCAGCAGUGAGGAAUAUUGGACAAUGAACGACAGUUUGAUCCAGCAAUAUUAUGUAAAUGAUUGACAGCUACUUUUUGGUUGUAAAGUUUUUUCGUUAAAAACGAUAAUGACGUUAUUUAAAGAAGUUUUAGUCCCGGCUAAUCUCGUGCCAGCAGCCGCGGUAAUACGGGAGGGGCAAGCGUUAUUCGUAAUUACUGGGCGUACAGCGUCCGUAGAUUGUAAUAUAAGUUAUAUAUUAAAAUUUAAAGUUCAAUUUUAAAAAAAUAUACAAUACUGUUUUACUUGAGUUUAGUACAGAAGAGUAGAAUUUUAUGUUAAGGAGUAAAUUCCAAGAAUACAUAAAGGAACACCAAUAGCGAAAGCAACUCUUUAGUACAAACUGACAUUGAGGGACGAAAGUGUAAGGAGCAAACAGGAUUAGAUACCCUGGUAGUUUACACUGUAAAUUCUGAGUGCUGUAAUUUAAAAAAGAUUUUAGAUUUUUUAAGCUAACGCCAUAAGCACUCCGCCUGAGGAGUACGAUCGCAAGAUUGGAACUCAAAGGAAUUGACGGGAGCCUACAACGAGUGGUGGAGCAUGUGGUUUAAUGCGAUAAUCCGCGCAAAACCUUACCAACCCUUGACAUAUUGAAAAAAAAUUUAAGUUUUUUUUAAUAUUAAUUAACAAAUUAAUUAAUUUUCAUUACAGGUGUUGCACGACUGUCGUCAGCUCGUGUCGUAAGAUGUUUGGUUCAUUCCUUUUAACGAGCGAAACUCUUAUUUUUAAAAUUUACUUUCGAUCUUUAUAAUGUAUUUUUGUUAUAAAGAUUGUGCUUUAAAAAGACUGUGAAACCAAAAAUAUAAUUUCAAAGGAAGGUGAGAAUUAAGUCAAGUCACUGUGGCCCUUAUGGGUUGGGCUACACACGUGCUACAAUGAAAAUUACAAAAGGUUACGUUUUUUAGUUUAAAGUUAAUCUUCAAAAAUUUUCUCAGUUCGAAUUAUAAACUGAAACUCGUUUAUAUGAAGUUGGAAUCACUAGUAAUCGCAAAUCAGCAUGUUGCGGUGAAUAUGUAUCUUGGCCUUGUACACACCGCCCGUCACAU
rnacentral:rRNA from 1 species